rnacentral:rRNA from 1 species
CCUACGGGGCGCAGCAGUAGGGAAUCUUCCACAAUGGGCGAAAGCCUGAUGGAGCAACGCCGCGUGGGUGAAGAAGGUCUUCGGAUCGUAAAACCCUGUUGUUAGAGAAGAAAGUGCGUGAGAGUAACUGUUCACGUUUCGACGGUAUCUAACCAGAAAGCCCAGGCUCACUACGUGCCAGCAGCCGCGGUAAUACGUAGGUGGCAAGCGUUAUCCGGAUUUAUUGGGCGUAAAGGGAACGCAGGCGGUCUUUUAAGUCUGAUGUUAACGCCUUCGGCUUAACCGGAGUAGUGCAUUGGAAACUGGGAGACUUGAGUGCAGAAGAGGAGAGUGGAACUCCAUGUGUAGCGGUGAAAUGCGUAGAUAUAUGGAAGAACACCAGUGGCGAAGGCGGCUCACUGGUCUGUAACUGACGCUGAGGUUCGAAAGCGUGGGUAGCAAACAGGAUUAGAUACCCCAGUAGUC